CACAAAAAUGGGAAAAAAUUAGUAUUCAAAAUUUUUAUCGAGCUAUGAAACUACAGCGUGUUAAAGAAAAUCAGAUCGCCGUAGCUGAGGUAUAAGUUUGCUGUGCGUCGCGCAAUCCUUUGAAAGCGCAAACACGUGAGCCGCUCGCACGCGAGUCAAAGAAUAAUAUUGACUCAUUGUCAGUGAAUAUUUUCUUCCCAAGUAUAACGACCUUUGGCAGCGGUAUGAGCUGUUUAACAUACGGAGUUGAAAAAACCGCAGUGCAUGAAUUGAUGUAAACACAAACCGUGAUGAUGACCGGAUGAUUCAACAAUAUCGCACAUGUUCGUCUGUAUCCACUAUUUACCCAAGUGUUGAAUAUUAACGAUUAACGAGACAUCGAGACAGUCGGUAGGCUACGAUUGGUCAACAGGGAUUGAGUGGGGGCAGACCAGAACACCGAUCUAGGAACACCGGCAUUUGUAUAGGAGAAGGAGUUAAAUCGUAUCGAUGAAGUUUGACCCUCUGCGUGACGGACGUUAGAGGAUGUACUUACAAUCAGACGAUAGACGUUGGUGGAGAAAUGAGAACUUGCAUUUUGCAAUAUUCAUUUCCUGAAAUAAAGUGCCAACGAAAUCUAAUAGGGAGGGGUGGAUGGUCAAGAGGAAAAAAAACUAUUUCAGAACGCAAGGUUUGCAGUUUUCUCGAGCGUGAAGGCUGCUGACAAGUGCGAUCCGAUACCUUCACCAUGCAGGUAGGAAGAGGUGAAGUCGGUACACACAUGACAAGCGUAGUGUUGUAAUGGACCAUGUAAAAGAAGAGCAAACAUGUGAAACCCGCUGGGUAUACAUCCGGACGGCUUGUAUCUCGUGCCCAUACUCUAUACUUAUAAGAUUGCGUAGAGAUGGAGAUAAGCUGCAUGGGGUGGUAUCAAAGCCUCGCUAUAUCUGAAUCGGAGAUGCGCAAAUAAUAAUUACGCAACUUGAUAAGUCUAGCUAUUUGUCAGUUGCAGUUUUCUGCACACGACGCCCCGUAACUCGCAGUGAGAUAUUUCGAAUUCUUGAAUCUCCAGUAGCAAAUGAAUGCGACGACGACCGUCAUGGAUGCUGAGAACGUCGCGAGACAACGGACCCGCAUAUAGAUGCAUUGGAUGCGGUUGCUACGCGAUCGUCACUCAUCAUAGUCUACAUUGGAAAAUAAAUUCAAACUAAAUUGGGCUUCAAUUGGUCUGUCUGUCGGCUCACCGACUGACUGAACGAACGAAAGACAAACC